CGCGAAUAGCUCAUUACAACAGCCACUGUUUACUUGAUCUUGAUUAUCCUACUUGGAUAACUGUGGUAAUUCUAGAGCUAAUACAUGCAACCAAGCUCCGACCGUAAGGGACGAGCGCAUUUAUUAGAACAAAACCAAUCGGGCUUCGGCCUGAGGUUUGGUGAAUCUGAAUAACUGAGCUGAUCGCAUGGUCUUUGUACCGGCGACGCAUCUUUCAAGUGUCUGCCUUAUCAACUUUCGAUGGUAGUUUAUGUGCCUACCAUGGUUGUAACGGGUAACGGAGAAUAAGGGUUCGACUCCGGAGAGGGAGCCUGAGAAACGGCUACCACAUCCAAGGAAGGCAGCAGGCGCGCAAAUUACCCACUCUCGGCACGAGGAGGUAGUGACGAAAAAUAACGAGGCGGUUCUCUAAGAGGCCCGCUAUCGGAAUGGGUACAAUUUAAACCCUUUAACGAGGACCUAUGAGAGGGCAAGUCUGGUGCCAGCAGCCGCGGUAAUUCCAGCU
rnacentral:rRNA from 1 species